rnacentral:rRNA from 1 species
UAACUACGACGAAAGCGUGGCUAAUACCGCAUACGCCUGGAGGGGAAGCGGGGGAUUCUUCGGAACCUCGCGCAAUUGGAGCGGCCGAUGUCAGAUUAGCUUGUUGUGAGGUAAGGCUCACCAAGGCGACGAUCUGUAGCGGGUCUGAGAGGAUGAUCCGCCACACUGGGACUGAGACACGGCCCAGACUCCUACGGGGAGGCAGCAGGUGGGGUAAUUUUGGACAAUGGGGGCAACCCUGAUCCAGCCAUGCCGCGUGAGUGAAGAAGGCCUUCGGGUUGUAAAGCUCUUUCAGCCGGGAAGAAAACGCACUCUCUAACAUAGGGUGUGGAUGACGGUACCGGAAGAAGAAGCACCGGCUAACUACGUC